GACAGAGGGGGCAAGCGUUGCUCGGAAUUACUGGGCGUAAAGGGCGCGUAGGCGGGAUGGCAAGUCGGUCGUGAAAUCCCUCGGCUCAACUGAGGAUCGUCGAUCGAUACUGCCGUUCUUUGAGGAUUGCAGAGGAGACUGGAAUUCCCGGUGUAGCGGUGAAAUGUGUAGAUAUGCGGAGGAACACCGAUGGCGAAGGCAGUCCCCCUGGGCCUGCACUGACGCUCAUGCACGAAAGCCGUGGGGGAGCGAACAGG
rnacentral:rRNA from 1 species